GGGUUGUGAGGUUAAGCGACUAAGCGUACACGGUGGAUGCCCUGGCAGUCAGAGGCGAUGAAGGACGUGCUAAUCUGCGAUAAGCGUCGGUAAGGUGAUAUGAACCGUUAUAACCGGCGAUUUCCGAAUGGGGAAACCCAGUGUGUUUCGACACACUAUCAUUAACUGAAUCCAUAGGUUAAUGAGGCGAACCGGGGGAACUGAAACAUCUAAGUACCCCGAGGAAAAGAAAUCAACCGAGAUUCCCCCAGUAGCGGCGAGCGAACGGGGAGCAGCCCAGAGCCUGAAUCAGUGUGUGUGUUAGUGGAAGCGUCUGGAAAGGCGCGCGAUACAGGGUGACAGCCCCGUACACAAAAAUGCACAUGCUGUGAGCUCGAUGAGUAGGGCGGGACACGUGGUAUCCUGUCUGAAUAUGGGGGGACCAUCCUCCAAGGCUAAAUACUCCUGACUGACCGAUAGUGAACCAGUACCGUGAGGGAAAGGCGAAAAGAACCCCGGCGAGGGGAGUGAAAAAGAACCUGAAACCGUGUACGUACAAGCAGUGGGAGCACGCUUAGGCGUGUGACUGCGUACCUUUUGUAUAAUGGGUCAGCGACUUAUAUUCUGUAGCAAGGUUAACCGAAUAGGGGAGCCGAAGGGAAACCGAGUCUUAACUGGGCGUUAAGUUGCAGGGUAUAGACCCGAAACCCGGUGAUCUAGCCAUGGGCAGGUUGAAGGUUGGGUAACACUAACUGGAGGACCGAACCGACUAAUGUUGAAAAAUUAGCGGAUGACUUGUGGCUGGGGGUGAAAGGCCAAUCAAACCGGGAGAUAGCUGGUUCUCCCCGAAAGCUAUUUAGGUAGCGCCUCGUGAAUUCAUCUCCGGGGGUAGAGCACUGUUUCGGCAAGGGGGUCAUCCCGACUUACCAACCCGAUGCAAACUGCGAAUACCGGAGAAUGUUAUCACGGGAGACACACGGCGGGUGCUAACGUCCGUCGUGAAGAGGGAAACAACCCAGACCGCCAGCUAAGGUCCCAAAGUCAUGGUUAAGUGGGAAACGAUGUGGGAAGGCCCAGACAGCCAGGAUGUUGGCUUAGAAGCAGCCAUCAUUUAAAGAAAGCGUAAUAGCUCACUGGUCGAGUCGGCCUGCGCGGAAGAUGUAACGGGGCUAAACCAUGCACCGAAGCUGCGGCAGCGACGCUGAUGCGUUGUUGGGUAGGGGAGCGUUCUGUAAGCCUGCGAAGGUGUGCUGUGAGGCAUGCUGGAGGUAUCAGAAGUGCGAAUGCUGACAUAAGUAACGAUAAAGCGGGUGAAAAGCCCGCUCGCCGGAAGACCAAGGGUUCCUGUCCAACGUUAAUCGGGGCAGGGUGAGUCGACCCCUAAGGCGAGGCCGAAAGGCGUAGUCGAUGGGAAACAGGUUAAUAUUCCUGUACUUGGUGUUACUGCGAAGGGGGGACGGAGAAGGCUAUGUUGGCCGGGCGACGGUUGUCCCGGUUUAAGCGUGUAGGCUGGUUUUCCAGGCAAAUCCGGAAAAUCAAGGCUGAGGCGUGAUGACGAGGCACUACGGUGCUGAAGCAACAAAUGCCCUGCUUCCAGGAAAAGCCUCUAAGCAUCAGGUAACAUCAAAUCGUACCCCAAACCGACACAGGUGGUCAGGUAGAGAAUACCAAGGCGCUUGAGAGAACUCGGGUGAAGGAACUAGGCAAAAUGGUGCCGUAACUUCGGGAGAAGGCACGCUGAUAUGUAGGUGAAGCGACUUGCUCGUGGAGCUGAAAUCAGUCGAAGAUACCAGCUGGCUGCAACUGUUUAUUAAAAACACAGCACUGUGCAAACACGAAAGUGGACGUAUACGGUGUGACGCCUGCCCGGUGCCGGAAGGUUAAUUGAUGGGGUUAGCGCAAGCGAAGCUCUUGAUCGAAGCCCCGGUAAACGGCGGCCGUAACUAUAACGGUCCUAAGGUAGCGAAAUUCCUUGUCGGGUAAGUUCCGACCUGCACGAAUGGCGUAAUGAUGGCCAGGCUGUCUCCACCCGAGACUCAGUGAAAUUGAACUCGCUGUGAAGAUGCAGUGUACCCGCGGCAAGACGGAAAGACCCCGUGAACCUUUACUAUAGCUUGACACUGAACAUUGAGCCUUGAUGUGUAGGAUAGGUGGGAGGCUUUGAAGUGUGGACGCCAGUCUGCAUGGAGCCGACCUUGAAAUACCACCCUUUAAUGUUUGAUGUUCUAACGU
rnacentral:rRNA from 1 species